UCGACAUGCUAAUACCCAACAGAUGAUACACAGCUGUCACCACUAUUAACAAUGACUUAAGUUUCAAGAUGACAUGUAGUACUGGGACCGCGUCGAGCACCAGUACGUUUCCCUUAUAGAUGUCUCAAAAUUGGCUACCUCUGUUUUAACUCACUUCGGUCUCCUAAUUCAUAUUUAACUAAUUUCUACAAACAAAUUUUAGCAUAUUGGCGAAGCAACAGCUAAAGAUGGUGGCAAGCUACAAAUCAUCGUUAAAAAACUAAGUGACUUGAGCCAAAAAGUUGAUGGUGCCCACCUAACCAAUGAUGAAAAAAAA